GGCGGCGUUCCCGCCCGGCUGGGCAGCGCCCUCCGCCCCUGAGGGACAGCGCGUCCGCCGGAGGGGCGAUCUGGGGCCGGGAGCCAAGUAGGGCGGUCCCCACAGCGCUGGGGAGCAGUAGGGGCUUUGGGUUCGUCUUCUCCUUUCUGAGCCCCGAGGGAACGCUGGAAGGAGGGCGGCACACGGGGCCGUGAGCAGAGCUCCGGGCCGAGCAUGGCUUUUGCUGAGCGCGCGGAGCCAUGCUGCCCUCACAGGUGAGAGAGCGCAGCUCUGUUGCUUUGACUGUGUGCAGGCUCUGCUCGUAUCGCCCUGUACUCAGGAGAUAAAGGAGUUUGGUGUUUUUUUGUUGGAUUUUUUUCCCUUAAAUCGGACAAAGUAGAGGAAAAGCAUUUAUUUUUUUUUGUCAGUUGUUCCACAUCCCUUCAUUAAAGGCAGUGUGUGGCAUGAGAAGCUCAGGAUGGAGUCUGUUCACCUGCCCUCCAUUCUUGGAUUCCUGCUUAGCUGUAGCCAUUACUAUCUGUCCUAUCCCAAAUGCUGUUCUGUUGCACCCUCUUAAAAAUGUGACACCAAGAGAAGUUUCAGCUUUCACAUCUUGUAUUGAAGAGUCAGCGUGCUUCUUCCUCAGCCUCAGGAUGAAGUUCCAUACAUAAGAACGCGGUUAUCCCGUGCACAGUGCUCCAGCACAGUUUCCAAAUAGAGAUAGCAAAUCUGAGUUUGGAGUCACCUUUACUUCAGUAUUUUAGAGCUGCAGAAUGACAUUUCAGUACCCAUCACCAUAUUAUCUAGGCGCCACCGUAAGAUUAAGGAGCUCAACAUGAUCUGCUCAGAGGUCAUUAGCAGAGCUUCUCAUACUGGAGAAGGUCGGAGGAGAGUAAGGAAGUGCACAGCAGAAGAAAAGAAAAAGGAAAAGGAGGUGCUAAGUGCACAGGAGAUAAUUCUGGAGUUGACCCAUAUUUGUUACUGACAGAGGAAGAAAAGUACCAAGGAGUACUGGCUUUCUCCUGUGAAGUGAGAGUGUCUGCUCAUCUAAAUAAAUGCCGUUAAAAAAAACAACAAUACCAACGACAAAACACCCUGUGCAAACACUGUGUGAGUCUGUAGUGAAUCUGCCUUAUGCAACUGCAGAACUAAAAUAAAAGUAACAUUUUCCAGUAGCCAUUAGUGGAGCUCAGCUUGCCCAAUGCUUGCACCAUUGCUUUUCGCAGCAUGUGCUUUAUCAGUUGCCUUCCCAGCCCAGAGAUGUCCAUGGUUCUUGGCAGCAGCUCCUACUGAUGUGGAGUGGGAUGUUGCUCAAGAACCCUUUGAUCACCAGCCAGGUGCUAACACCAUUUGCUGUAGCAGUGGCUUGCCAGUCCUGUCCAGGACACAUAGCAAAUGGGCCUUCUGUACACUGGAAGGAGAUUAGGAUUUCUUUUGGCCUGUUUGAGUGCAUCACAUCACCAUCUUUUGAACAUCCAGGUUUUCUGCCAUGCUUUCUUUCCCAGGACUUAACACCUGUGACACAGCUGCAUCACAGCCAUAAUCCAGAGGCUAGGUGGCUAUGUCUGGAACUCUGGAAGUUGUAUUUCAGGAGAGUACUUGGCAUAUCCAAAAUUUGAAAGCUUGUGCUCUGCAUUGCUUCGUUUCUACUCAGGCAGAAUUUGCACCCAAGUGCUUUGUUGUGUUGGGGCCCAAUGGCUGAAAGAGCCGGUACCUCCCUACUUGGAUUUGCUUUUUUGUAUUCCUGGGAAGUGAGAAAUGCGGACGCCUCUAUCACUGCCUUUUGUUUGGGAAUGGACAGCUGAGUCAGCCCACGUGACUGGGGAGCUCUGGAGAAAUGGAAUAUACAUCAUGAAAAUACUCAAAAUUUGCUAGGCUUGUGCUGUAAAAUGCAUUAAAAACAUCCCAGAAACACUGAUCUCAGAUCGAUGUAUAUACAGAUCCAUGCACAGAUUCAUGUGAAUAUGGAUCUGUGAAUUUAUCAUUAUUCAUGCGAGUGAUAAUUGUUCCACUGAAAACUACAGCUACUUGUAUACAACAAAGCACACGUGUAAGAUCUAAAAAAUAUAAUAGGCAAAUACAGCUAUGGCAACUGCACUUAUAACUAGAGAUGCACAUAUGUGUGUACAGCUUCUAUUGCAGCUGGGAGCUAACUAGCAAUCUAAAGAAAUAUGAUAAACUGGUGAAAGAGUCAGGACCAGAAACUGCCUUCCUAUUCUUGAGCUUUUGCUAAAGCUCAUUUGUUCCUUGAUGCUUAAUUUCUGACAGUGUUCUGCAUUCAUUAACU